CAACCCUCAAGCAACUUUUGCUUGGUGUUGGGGAUCGGCCGUUAGACGCCGCCCCCGAAAUCUAUUGGCGAUCUCGCUGUAGCUUCCUAUGCGUAGAAGUAACAUCUCGCAUCUGGAGAGCGGCGCGGUCAUGCCGUAAAACACCCAACUUCUGAAA
rnacentral:misc_RNA from 1 species